rnacentral:piRNA from 1 species
UCACUAUUAAUUUAUUGAAAGAUUCAUG